UUUAUAUAUAAUUAGAAUUAGAUAGCUAUUGGAUCAGAUCCUUCACAUUAGAUAUGAGAAAUAUUAAAGGGACAAUAUAGUCACCAAAACCACUAUAGCUUAAUGUAAUCCUGCAUAAAAGCAGCAAUAAACGCUCAGUGGAGACAGUACUUCUUGACCCUCAACACGUAGGCUUGUCUCGUGAUUGGAGGGGACAGCUAUACUCACACUGGGGAUUGCUAUGCUCUGCAUACUCCCCUGAGCUUUAAUCACUCAGCUCUUUUAAGAGCUUGUUCCUGAUACGCUCUCCUGGAGGAGAGGUCUUCCCCACACGGUCCUGGAGGACAGAAGCUGAUCCAGGGUAGACAGAAGACGGCGAGACUCCAGUUAAGCUACGACGGUUGUGGAGUCUGCUGUGGUUGUGGUGUCCGGUGCCGUGCUUGUGGUCCUCGGCGCAAGCUAGGAAGCAUCCAUCAACGGAAGGUACUCGGUCGGAGUACGGGGAGUUCUGUUACACACUCUCACUAACAAACACACACUCACUAACAGACACACUCUCACGAACUGACGCAUACACACUAGCUAACAGACACGCACAUUUACUGACAGACACACACUCAGUGACAGACAUACAUACACACUCACAUUUUUUUUUUUACAUUUAAUCCCCAGCCUCCCUACCUUUGGGAGUGCUGAGGGGAUUCCAGCUUUCCCUGGGGUCCAGUGGGGCUGCUGGGUGGUCACUACAGGCGGCGAGGGAGCACUGAUCCUCCUGUUCAGCUCCCUCGCGCGCCGCUUACUGAUGCCGGAGCCGGAGUGACGUCAUAUUCCGGCUCCGGGAUCACUCCAGUGCGCGCAAGGGAGCUGGGCAGAGAGAGCUCAGGGGGGAAUGUUGCUGGGAUUGGACACAUUUUGACAGCAGAGCUCCACCUUUUGUCAAUGUUUGUCAACCUUUGCUUUACAGUAGCUUUGCAUUGCGUGGGAAUUUUAAUGAAAUUCCAACGCUGUAUGCAUAUUUUUUAAAGAUAGUAUCUUUAGGAACAUGAGAAAUAGAACCGCUUUAAUGAUACAUCUUUGGAGGAGGAGGGGCAGGAUGCAUUGUCUUUGUUCCAAUGUAACCUUCAACUCAUGUUAGAUCUCCAAUUUACUGUGGUUAAUGUAUUACCUUUGACAGGAUAAUAAGAUAAACUAUGUUGAAAAAAU